rnacentral:rRNA from 1 species
AAAAGUCGUAACAAGGUUUCCGUAGGUGAACCUGCGGAAGGAUCAUUAUUGAAUAUUCUUGAUGGGUUGUAGCUGGCUCUUCGGAGUAUGUGCACGCCUGUCUUGACUCUAUUCAUCCACCUGUGCACCUUUUGUAGUCUUGGGGGUUGAGAACAGUCAACUAUCGGACGGCUAUUAUGGCCUUUCGGACGUGAGAAUUGCUGAGUGCGAAAGCAUACACGUAUUCUUAAAAUGACUUGUAACCUCUCCUUCGAGCACUAUGUUUUCAUAUACCACAUAGUAUGUUGUAGAAUGUGAUCAAUGGGCCUACGUGCCUAUAAUAAUCAUAUACAACUUUCAGCAACGGAUCUCUUGGCUCUCGCAUCGAUGAAGAACGCAGCGAAAUGCGAUAAGUAAUGUGAAUUGCAGAAUUCAGUGAAUCAUCGAAUCUUUGAACGCACCUUGCGCUCCUUGGUAUUCCCAGGAGCAUGCCUGUUUGAGUGUCCUUAAAUUCUCAACCCCUCCAGCUUUUGUUAGUUGCGAGUGGGGCUUGGAUGUUGGGAGCUUGCGGGCCUCAUAUAAUAGAGGUCAGCUCUCCUUAAAUGCAUUAGCGGAACCGUUUGCAGUCCCGUCACUAGUGUGAUAAUUAUCUACACUGUGAUGAUUGCUCUCUGGCUUGUUCAGCUACUAAUCGUCCUUUGCCGGACAAUGUAUAAUGAACAUCUUGACCUCAAAUCAGGUAGGACUACCCGCUGAACUUAAGCAUAUCAAUAAGGCGGACCA